AAGGAAUAUUGGUCAAUGGACGCAAGUCUGAACCAGCCAAGCCGCGUGAAGGAUGAAGGUCCUCUGGAUUGUAAACUUCUUUUAUCUGGGACGAAAACGGGAUUUUUAUCUCAAUUGACGGUACCAGAGGAAUAAGCACCGGCUAACUCCGUGCCAGCAGCCGCGGUAAUACGGAGGGUGCGAGCGUUAUCCGGAUUUACUGGGUCUAAAGGGUGCGUAGGUGGGCUUAUAAGUCAGUGGUGAAAUCUCCGAGCUUAACUUGGAAACUGCCGUUGAUACUAUAGGUCUUGAAUUAUCUGGAGGUAAGCGGAAUAUGUCAUGUAGCGGUGAAAUGCUUAGAUAUGACAUAGAACACCAAUUGCGAAGGCAGCUUACUACAUAUAAAUUGACGCUGAGGCACGAAAGCGUGGGGAUCAAACA
rnacentral:rRNA from 1 species